GAUGAACGCUAGCGACAGGCCUAAACAUGCAAGUCGAGGGGCAGCACAUGAGUAGCAAUACGAUGGUGGCGACCGGCGCACGGGUGAGUAACACGUAUGCAACCUGCCUUCUACUAUGGGAUAACCCGUUGAAAGACGGACUAAUACCGUAUAAUACAGGGGCUCCGCAUGGAGAUAUUUGUUAAAGAUUUAUUGGUAGAAGAUGGGCAUGCGUAUGAUUAGAUAGUUGGUGAGGUAACGGCUCACCAAGUCAACGAUCAUUAGGGGUUCUGAGAGGAAGGUCCCCCACACUGGUACUGAGACACGGACCAGACUCCUACGGGAGGCAGCAGUGAGGAAUAUUGGUCAAUGGACGAGAGUCUGAACCAGCCAAGUCGCGUGAAGGAAGACGGUUCUAUGAAUUGUAAACUUCUUUUGUGCAGGAAUAAAGUGGGUUACGUGUAACCUUUUGUAUGUACUGUACGAAUAGGGAUCGGCUAACUCCGUG
rnacentral:rRNA from 1 species